rnacentral:rRNA from 1 species
GAUGAACGCUGGCGGCGUGCCUAAUACAUGCAAGUCGAGCGAACAGAAGAGGAGCUUGCUCCUUUGACGUUAGCGGCGGACGGGUGAGUAACACGUAGGUAACCUACCUAUAAGACUGGGAUAAAUUCGGGAAACCGGAGCUAAUACCGGAUAAUAUUUCGAACCGCAUGGUUCGAUAGUGAAAGAUGGCUUUGCUAUCACUUAUAGAUGGACCUGCGCCGUAUUAGCUAGUUGGUAAGGUAACGGCUUACCACGGCAACGAUACGUAGCCGACCUGAGAGGGUGAUCGGCCCCACGGGAACUGAGACACGGUCCAGACUCCUACGGGAGGCAGCAGUAGGGAAUCUUCCGCGAUGGGCGAAUGCCUGACGGAGCAACGCCGCGUGAGUGAUGAAGGUCUUCGGAUCGUAAAACUCUGUUAUUAGGGAAGAACAAACGUGUAAGUAACUGUGCACGUCUUGACGGUACCUAAUCAGAAAGCCACGGCUAACUACGUG